rnacentral:tRNA from 1 species
AAGGGAGACCUAAUUCCGGUAGGAGACGAAAAAAAAGUAGUACCAACCGAGAAUCAAUCCCAAAAGGUCGGAGCGAGGCGAAAUUGGCUUUCAAACUAGGUUCUGGGUUCACACAAGACCUGAAUCAGGAACAAGGGCUAUUAGCUCAGGUGGUUAGAGCGCACCCCUGAUAAGGGUGAGGUCCCUGGUUCGAGUCCAGGAUGGCCCACCUGCACAGGUGGCAAAAAUAAAGAAGCUCCGAAUCAGCACCUUAUCUUACUUAUAUAGUAAGAGAGAAUGCUGGCUCUGAGUUCAGAGUCCAGAGGAACCUUGAAAACUGCAUAGAGCUAGGUGAAAAAGCCAAAAAAGAAGACCGCAAGGCCAAGCUAAUAAGGGCUAACGGUGGAUACCUAGGCAC